UGCUAGCAUCCAAAAUGUCAGCUGAGACACC
rnacentral:piRNA from 2 species